UACGGAGGGGGCUAGCGUUGUUCGGAAUUACUGGGCGUAAAGCGCACGUAGGCGGCUUUGCAAGUUAGAGGUGAAAGCCCGGGGCUCAACCCCGGAAUUGCCUUUAAAACUGCAUCGCUAGAAUUGUGGAGAGGUAAGUGGAAUUCCGAGUGUAGAGGUGAAAUGCGUAGAUAUCUGGAGGAACACCGGUGGCGAAGGCGGCAUCCUGGACCGACAUUGACGCUGAGGCGCGAAAGCCAGGGGAGCAAACGGG
rnacentral:rRNA from 1 species